CGAGAACGGAUUAUAGCUUGCUAUAAUUGUCAGCUAAGUGGCGCACGGGUGAGUAAUGUAUAGAUAACCUGCCCUUAAGAAAGGAAUAACAGUUGGAAACGACUGCUAAUGCCCUAUAUGCCUUUAAUACAUAAGUAUGCAAGGGAAACGCUUUAGUGCUUAAGGAUGGGUCUGUAUGGUAUCAGCUUGUUGGUGAGGUAAUGGCUCACCAAGGCUAUGACGCCUAACUGGUUUGAGAGGAUGAUCAGUCACACUGGAACUGAGACACGGUCCAGACUCCUACGGGAGGCAGCAGUGGGGAAUAUUGCACAAUGGACGAAAGUCUGAUGCAGCAACGCCGCGUGGAGGAUGACACAUUUCGGUGCGUAAACUCCUUUUAUAUAGGAAGAUAAUGACGGUACUAUAUGAAUAAGCACCGGCUAACUCCGUGCCA
rnacentral:rRNA from 1 species